AUGGGUUUGGCUAAUGUGAUUUCCGUGUCUUCAUCGCGCCUCUGUUGUUCGGGAUUCGCCAGCAUUGUCGUCCGGUUAACAGUUAUCUCAGCGAGAAAGAUGUUUGGCUUCCCGCAGUGAUUUCGGGGAUGUUACUAAUGGAUAAGGUGUUGCUAUUCGAGUGCUUAACGUAGAAACGGCUACCGAAUGGAAAUGUAAAAUGCAGAUGAUCAUCAAAAUGUUAUUACUUUGAUCCAUAUUUUAGUGUCCAUUCGCCCAUCAGCGAUUUCAAUCUGUUUGAUUUGGGGGAAAUGCGCAGCAAGUAAAAGGGGGAAAACGCUUAGUAAAUUUUGUCAAUAGAUAGAGGACAUAUUGCCGAGGUGGCACGAAAGUUGCUGAUUCCGGCUAGAAAAAGUGAAGGAAAAAUCGAACAAACGACGAAACGAGCCAAACUAUUGUUGGAUAUAACUGGCCUCGAAGGGUUUGACAUUAACUUUGCCAGACGCACCGUAAACUUCAACAACUGCCUCUAUUUUUUUGUUGUCCACCUAUCCCAUGUGAAGUCGUUACGACGCUAUUCUACACUAGUUUUAGGUAAAAAAAUACUAGAUAACAAGUUUUGAAAAUGUCGUAUUUUAUUUCGACUAGAAGCUUUAGAUAUAUGUGCAAGAAAUCAAGUAAUUUACAGCUAACUUUAAAGGCCCUUUGCCAUUUCUUUGGCUUGCUUACACGGAUAGACGGUGUGUGCAACUGGGUUUGAAUACUUAACCGAGACGUAAAAGGCUUUUGCCCUUCUUUUGAAUAGAAAAAGAAAACUCAUCAGUCGUCCUGUCGAGUUUGCACAAAGGCGGAAAAGCGAGCAAAGCGAAUAAUAGUGUGCCGUGGAAUAAGCUAUAGCGCGCAGCUAUAUCAAUAAGCACAAUAUACAAAGUGACGAAGCAGAAGCUAGUCUGCCAAAGAAUGGUUCGAGCGUGAAGGUAAACAGUCUGACUGUCAAAUGAAGUUCCACUUUCGAAUGUUUAUCUUACAAUUUCCCCCCCCCCCCCACGCUGCUACGACAACAUUUCCGUGUCUUUUCGACGGAAUUGAUGGUGACAGAGAGUGAGCUGAUCCCUUUUUUUCUCUCCUAUUUCCAAGAUCUCCAUCCGACACACGUAGACGUAGCUGUAAGCUGAAAUCGUUACCCGUGACUUAUCAUCUGCCGAGGGCACGAGCCGGGUCACCCUUAAUUGCCAGUAGUAAAUCCCGAAAUAUUUCAUUAAGAAUGUUACCACUUUAACCAAAUUUAUGGAGACUUUAGAUUAUUCUGUUUACGAGCCCUCUUGAAUCUGAUUUACUGAUGUGCGCAGUCCUUGCCAGCAUUUUGGAUUGAAUCGAAAAAAAACUUGGGAGGAAUUAAAAGAGUUCCCUCAAGAGUAGAUUUGGCAUUUGACGUCAUUCACCGCGGUUUUUCAAUUAUUACACUACAGAACCAAGUACUGCGUUAUUGUAAGUGAAAAGUUACGCCAUCCGUCCCAUUGUGUCCGAUCCCCCGCAUGUCGCUAGUCGAGAGAAAGUGCGCACGCUCUCCUUGGAAAAGCUUUUCUUCCUAUCAACGUCUUUAUGUAAAGUCCAGCACUCUUGUCCCUUUUCUUUCGACAAGUAAACUCGGUUCUUUUCUAUAGAUCCAAUUCUCCUUGCUCCACAUAGUUCCUUCUUCUUCCAUAGUAAUCCGCCGCCCACAUCCGUUGCGAGCUCACCAGCCUUUUCUUCGCGGAACUUUUAUUAGCAGUGUCGAGUCGUUGGCCAGCCAAAUAAUGACCAGCUUUAAGUACGAGGCCCUUGGCUUUUGUGCUGCUGCACUGCUUUAUCUAUCUACAUAAGACGACGAUGCGAUUGUAUUAAUUAGUAGUCUGCAGUUAAUGGCACGAUAUCGUUCAACUUCCAGCAACGAGAGAUUCAACGUUUUUCCCAACCCAUCGAUACAAACACGAUUUCGCAUUUGUCUCCAGCAUAAGUAUAUUGCGUACAUUACCCGACAAGUCCCAUCUUGUUGGACAGUUCUUUGUAUCCGUUUGAUACUCGUCGAUGCGGAAAACAAAUGCUAUGAGGAGAGCACAACCUUUUAGGGUUAAAGUAGCGUAAGGUUUAAAUCGGUCAUUUGACAUCAAAGCUUGGACACACAGAUAUCUGCCACGCAGCAACCAAGGAGGAAGUUAUUUUCCGAUCAAUUUGAUUCCCUCUCACAUGACGGGAAAUGUCAUUUUUGCUUUCUCUUGUGUGGGUGAUUAGGAGUUGCCAUGGAAUUGAAAAUAAAAGACAGGAUUAAAUGAAAACACGGAAUUCUGUAUGUGAUAAAUCAAUGUAAUUUAAUACAAAAUGAACUCCAUGCUGUUGCCUUUUAGCUUUUAGAACUAUUAUUUAUUAUUAGACAGUAUUAUUGGGAAACUCAUCUCUUUAUUCUAUAAGCAGUCCCUUUUUUCGGAUUCGAUAGCUGAGUUCUAGUUAGAAAUGAGGGGAUAUAUAUGAUA
rnacentral:lncRNA from 1 species